AUGGCUCAGGAUGAACGCUAGCUACAGGCUUAACACAUGCAAGGUCGAGGGGCAGCAUGGUCUUAGCUUGCUAAGGCUGAUGGCGACCGGCGCACGGGUGAGUAACGCGUAUCCAACCUUCCCCAUAGUAGGGGAUAGCCCGGCGAAAGUCGGAUUAAUACCCUAUGUUAUUCGAUGCAGACAUCUAAGUUGAAUCAAAGGUUUACCGCUAUGGGAUGGGGAUGCGUCUGAUUAGGUUGCAGGCGGGGUAACGGCCCACCUGGCCCACGAUCAGUAGGGGUUCUGAGAGGAAGGUCCCCCACAUUGGAACUGAGACACGGUCCAAACUCCUACGGGAGGCAGCAGUGAGGAAUAUUGGUCAAUGGGCGAGAGCCUGAACCAGCCAAGUAGCGUGCAGGAUGACGGCCCUAUGGGUUGUAAACUGCUUUUAUGCGGGGAUAAAGUGCGGCACGUGUGCCGUUUUGUAGGUACCGCAUGAAUAAGGACCGGCUAAUUCCGUGCCAGCCGCGGC
rnacentral:rRNA from 1 species